rnacentral:tRNA from 1 species
AUGGCUCAGCGGUUAAGAGCACUGACUGCUCUUCCAGAGGACCUGGGUUCGAGUCCCAGU